GCUUGUUGGCAUAGAGACUUCAAAGCCAAAGGCAAACCAGCUUCCUCAAGUGUGCAUGUUUCCUCCUUUGGGUCUGUUAGCUGGGGUUCAUAGUGGCAUGGAAGCAGGUGUUGCUGAAGGGAUCUCUUCAAGGAAAGGCUCGUGUCUCUGCCAGCUGAGACCUUAGACACAGCUUAUCUGACUUGGGAAAAGUCACGCUCCCUCCCACAACCUCUGAUAUUUUGUGGGGAGAAGGUAUGAGGCAGGAAGGGAAUCUUGGACUGGACUUAGGAUUCCAUAAGCUCCGUUAGACUCUGGGAACAGGUGGUGGUGUGACCAGGAGACACUUCAUUUUGCAUCAGUGUGCUGGCUAGUUUUAGCUCAACUUGACCCAAGCUAGAGUCAUUAGAGAGGAAGGAGCCUCAGUCGAGAAAAUGCCUCCAUAAGAUCAGGCUGUUGGCAAACCUGUGGGCCAUUUUCUUAAUUAGUGAUUGAUGAGGGAUGGCUCAGCCCAUUGUGGGUGGUUCCACCCCUAGGCUGGUGGUCCUGAGUUCUAUAAGAAAGCAGACUAAGCAAGUCAUGAGGAGCAAGCUAGUAAGAUGCUCGCUUCCCAUGGUUUCUGCAUCAUUUCCUGCUUCCAGGUUCCUGCCCUGUUGGAGUUCCUGUCUGGACUUCUUUCAAUGCAGAAGUGUGUCAGAUCUCUUGGAACUGGAGUUGCAGACAGUUGUGUGUGGAGAGCUGCGAUGUGCCGAGCCAGAAGAUGGCGCCGGUUUCUACCUUCCACCAUCCCGAGGAUUAGGAUGGAGAAUUCUCAGCUCCUUCUCCAGCACCAUGUCUGCCUGUGUGCUGCUGGGCUCCCACCAUGAUGACUGACUGACCUCUGAAACUUAGAGAGAAGAAGGAGUAAAUGAAGCCAAUACCAAAGGCACAACCUCAAGAGAUAUGAGGAUUCAUGGCUGUCCUACUCCAGAAUGCUACAGGAAGAAAGGGGAUGUGGCCACAGGAAUCCCUCAGCCGUGCCAAGAACUGAAUAAAUGUGCACAAUGGAUGCAACACUUUGGAAGGGUUGAGAAGAAAUGUAUUGUGAACCUGGACUCUUAAGGAUUUUGACGAGUGACCCUGGUGGUGUAGUCUGUGCACACUGGGUGUCAUUUUAGGGUAAAUGGAGA
rnacentral:lncRNA from 1 species